AUACGUAGGUGACAAGCGUUAUCCGGAUUUACUGGGCGUAAAGGGCGUGUAGGCGGUCUUGCAAGUCAGAAGUGAAAUUCCUGAGCUCAACUCGGGCGCUGCUUCUGAAACUGCAGGACUUGAGUGCUGGAGGGGAUAGCGGAAUUCCUAGUGGAGCGGUAAAAUACGCAGAUAUUAGGAAGAACACCGGUGGCGAAGGCGGCUAUCUGGACAGUAACUGACGCUGGGGCGCGAAAGCGUGGGGAGCAAACAGGAUUAGAUCCCCUGGUAGUCCACGCCGUAAACGAUGAAUACUAGGUGUAGGGGGUAUCGACUCCCUCUGUGCCGCAGUUAACACAAUAAGUAUUCCGCCUGGGGAGUACGGCCGCAAGGUUGAAACUCAAAUGAAUUGACGGGU
rnacentral:rRNA from 1 species